AGGGCUUUAUCUUAAUUAAAGGGUCUGAGUUGCAUUCAGGAGAUGUAGAUUAGUAUUCUGCAAGCCCUA
rnacentral:tRNA from 1 species